rnacentral:rRNA from 1 species
GGGUGCGAUCAUACCAGUGUUAAUGCACUGUAUUCCAUCGGAACUCUGAAGUUAACCACGCUUGGGCUAGAGUAGUACUGCAAUGGGUGACCUCCCGGGAAAUUCUAGUGUUGCACCCU